rnacentral:scRNA from 1 species
UGGGAGGUUUAAGAAGGUGAAACUAUAAAAGAAUAUAGUACUCACUGAUACCUGCCUCCUAAAGUAAAAGUGGUAGUGUGAACCACCUGAUGUCCAGAGACAGGUUUCAAGUGCUCUGCACCUACCCACAACA